rnacentral:rRNA from 1 species
AUUGAACGCUGGCGGCAGGCCUAACACAUGCAAGUCGAGCGGAGCGGCGGACGGGUGAGUAUUGCCUGGGAAUCUGCCUGGUAGUGGGGGAUAACGUCCGGAAACGGGCGCUAAUACCGCAUACUAUCAGAUGAGCCUAGGUCGGAUUAGCUAGUUGGUGGGGUAAAGGCCUACCAAGGAGACGAUCCGUAACUGGUCUGAGGGGAUGAUAAGUCACACUGGAAGUGAGACACGGUCCAGACUCAUACGUGAGGCAGCAGGGGGGAAGAAUGGACAAUGGACGAAAGCCUGAUCCAGCCAGUCCGCGUGUGUGAAGAAGGUCUGCGGAUUGUAAAGCACUUUAAGUUGGGAGGCGUUACCAACAGAAUAAGCACCGGCUAACUACGUGCCAGCAGCCGCGGUAAUAC